rnacentral:rRNA from 1 species
CCUACGGGUGACAGCAGUGGGGAAUAUUGGGCAAUGGGCGCAAGCCUGACCCAGCAACGCCGCGUGAAGGAAGAAGGCUUUCGGGUUGUAAACUUCUUUUCUCAGGGACGAAGCAAGUGACGGUACCUGAGGAAUAAGCCACGGCUAACUACGUGCCAGCAGCCGCGGUAAUACGGAGGUGGCAAGCGUUAUCCGGAUUUACUGGGUGGAAAGGGCGUGUAGGCGGGACUGCGAGUCAGAUGGGAAAACCAUGGGCUCAACCCAUGGCCUGCAUUUGAAACUGUAGUUCUUGAGUGAUGGAGAGGCAGGCGGAAUUCCGUGUGUAGCGGUGAAAUGCGUAGAUAUACGGAGGAACACCAGUGGCGAAGGCGGCCUGCUGGACAUUAACUGACGCUGAGGCGCGAAAGCGUGGGGAGCAAACAGGAUUAGAUACCCGAGUAGUC